rnacentral:misc_RNA from 1 species
GAUGAAGAACGUAGCGAAAUGCGAUAAGUAGUGUGAAUUGCAGAAUUCAGUGAAUCAUCGAAUCUUUGAACGCACAUUGCGCCCUUUGGUAUUCCAAAGGGCAUGCCUGUUCGAGCGUCAUUUGUACCCUCAAGCUUUGCUUGGUGUUGGGCGUCUUGUCUCUAGCUUUGCUGGAGACUCGCCUUAAAGUAAUUGGCAGCCGGCCUACUGGUUUCGGAGCGCAGCACAAGUCGCACUCUCUAUCAGCAAAGGUCUAACAUCCAUUAAGCCUUUUUUUCAACUUUUGACCUCGGAUCAGGUAGGGAUACCCGCUGAACUUAAGCAUAUCAAUAAGCGGAGGA